AUCGGCUGCCUGAGUUUUGCUCACCUGAAGCCGCCGGAUCCUGCUUGGUGCUUCUACAGGGACCUGCCGUGGACUUUCCUUCUUGGGACCGGAGAGGAGGAACAAGGUGUGAAGCCCUGCAAAGGUGCAGCUUGGCAGAAGUGGGCCAUGGCGGAGGGGGGAGGGGGCCGCCGAGGGCCCCCACCCCUCGGGCUUCCAAGGGCACCGCUGAGCUUAUCAGGGGAGCGCGAGGCAGGCAUGACCGGCUCCUGAAAUGUUGAGCACUGAGCUGCGUGGCAGUCCCCGGUCUCCCCGUGAGAAGCAGCUUCCUAGCCCGCCUUCCUCCCGGCUCUUCUCGGAGGUGCAAGAGGGAGGCAUGUGCAACAGGAAUUUCGUGGCCAAGGUGAUGGAGGACAUCCU